rnacentral:rRNA from 1 species
UACGUAGGGUGCGAGCGUUGUCCGGAUUUAUUGGGCGUAAAGAGCUCGUAGGCGGUUUGUCGCGUCGGCCGUGAAAUCUCCACGCUUAACGUGGAGCGUGCGGUCGAUACGGGCAGACUUGAGUUCGGUAGGGGAGACUGGAAUUCCUGGUGUAGCGGUGAAAUGCGCAGAUAUCAGGGGGAACACCGGUGGCGAAGGCGGGUCUCUGGGCCGAUACUGACGCUGAGGAGCGAAAGCGUGGGGAGCGAACAGG